AAACAAUAAUUUUUAUUUAAUGUUGAAAAUAGGGUUUCGCGCGACUUCUGUCACACGGCCGCGCCGAUGCUAAAAUACGACAGCAAUAUUCCAAAAAUC